UUAUUUGCAGGUGACUAAGUAUAAUCAGAACAAGUAGGUAUCAUAAGAUUUAGUCCAGAGUCAAUUUGGGAAGAAAUUACUUUAGUGAUAUGAAAAGAAACCAUGCUAUUUAGUCAGAAUACUUCUGAGAGUAUCCCCUGUCCAAGCAUUUGCUGAAUUUCUAUCUACUAGUUUUCAGGUGGAACAGUAUGGUUGCAGAGAGUCCAUUUGGACAUAGAUACACUUUCAUGCAUUCAUGUCUUUAACAAUAAUUUGUGGCCCUACUGUGUUUGUUCACUAACUCCUUCGAACCUACCAUAUAAGCUAUAUGUGUAUUUUCCUUGUAAUUUGGGAGGUCCAAUGCUUCAUUAAGCUCACAUGCCUGAAACUAAUGAAGAAACUAGCUCGUUAACCAGCUAGUAUAAAAAGAGCCACCAAAACAAGUCAAUCAUCCGCCUUAAAUCAGCCCAGUACUCCCAUCUUGAGCGGAGAAGCCCAUUCUGAAUCACAUUCAAGACACUGAUGGAAAAACAGCUCUCUCUGGGUAUCAAAACCACGCUCACUCCAAAUCCUCCUCCCCAGAGUUCUCCUCAUUGCUCACCCACUGAACCCAGAACAAACCAGAAGUGCUUGAAAUGAGGACGGGUAGCUCCGUGUACCAAUCGGAAUUUAAAACUAUGUCAAUUCCUGCUAUAGAAAUGAGGCUUCUCCCCAGGACCAGCAUUCCACGAAGGCAGCCCUUUUCUAGAUGGAGAAAACAGAACCUGAAGGCACCCGUUUCCCUAAACUGCUCUCGCUCAUGUUUCUACAGGGCCUGGAGCUGAUACGAAAAACCUCCCUUCUUUCC
rnacentral:lncRNA from 1 species